CACGGGUGAGCUGCACGCUUUAAGUAGGUCAACUGGAUGUUAUGUAAAUUGUAUCUCAAGGAAGUUGUUACCCAAAAAAAAAAAAAAAGGCCAGUAAAGAUAUCUUCAAAUGAUAUCAACCCUAUUACUAGAUUCUUUGUUCACCAACAGAUCUUUUGUUUGUCGGAAGCGGAAUUUUGAGAUGCUCCUGGAUUCUACGUUACAGGAGUCCCUUAACAUCCGGUGUCUCAGAUGCUCACUAGAAGUUGGUGAGAUAAACAGGACUAGCCAGAUCUCCGUUCCAGAAACAAUUCAGCCUGUCCAACGAUGUCCUCUCCACCCUUUCCCUACUUCCUGCCUCUGAAAAACCACAUUUUCCAAACGGGAAGCCAGGAGCUGGAGAAGUACAGACACCUAAGCUGCCUGGAUUCGUAAAGAAUGGGUCCUUUGAGUUUGCCCGCUCUCCAUGCAAAUUUCUUACGCGGCCUCUCUCCAACGACACGACUCGAUCAGCUCGAUCUGCUCUCCUUAUCCUACAGGUUCUUCGGUCAAGUUGUCCAGGAAGGAGCACCACCUGGGAGCAGGGCCCAAAACCUACCGGUGUGGAUUAAAAGAUCUUUCCCAGCACUACGCCUCACCCACUGAGGUCAAGGCUUAUCCCAAAUGAAACAAUGCUACGCAGCGGGAAGGCUAUGCUGUUGAAAAGUGUCUGCUGAACUCCAGGCUUUCAGAAGAACAACCCUGGGCUGACAAAAUGGAACUUCCCGUGACUACUUCCCUGUGUAUUUUGAUAGCUAUCAACUCACCAGGAGAAAAACAAAAAUCAUAAUGAAAAUGAUGAAACCUAGCUUAAACUUUCUGGAGAAGGGAAGGUGGGAGAGACUCAUAACAAGGAACAACAGUGCCUAAUACCACCUUCACUCAAAAAAAUAGUAAAUGUUAGAUAUGGCCACACUGGCAUAGUAUCGUCGUGCUCGAUUAGAAAGGGUGA